GUGGGGAAUUUUGGACAAUGGGGGCAACCCUGAUCCAGCAAUGCCGCGUGCAGGAAGAAGGCCUUCGGGUUGUAAACUGCUUUUGUACGGAACGAAACGGUCUGGGUUAAUACCCUGGGCUAAUGACGGUACCGUAAGAAUAAGCACCGGCUAACUACGUGCCAGCAGCCGCGGUAAUACGUAGGGUGCGAGCGUUAAUCGGAAUUACUGGGCGUAAAGCGUGCGCAGGCGGUUUUGUAAGACAGGCGUGAAAUCCCCGGGCUCAACCUGGGAAUGGCGCUUGUGACUGCAAAGCUGGAGUGCGGCAGAGGGGGAUGGAAUUCCGCGUGUAGCAGUGAAAUGCGUAGAUAUGCGGAGGAACACCGAUGGCGAAGGCAAUCCCCUGGGCCUGCACUGACGCUCAUGCACGAAAGCGUGGGGAGCAAACAGGAUUAGAUACCCCAGUAGUCC
rnacentral:rRNA from 1 species